UCUUGGCUCGGGCGCGCGCCACUCGUUGGCGGGGGCGGCCUCGUCCAAAAUGGCGGCGGCGCCGAGGGGCUCUCGGCUCCCCUACGGGGGACGAGGCCCAAACUGCUGGGCUUGGACAGGGGCUGCGUCGAGGGAAAUACCAAUAGAGGCUACUGGGUUGUGUAACAGCCUCCAACAACUGAUAUGCAUGUGGUGAGGUCCCAGUUGAUCUAUAAGGGAAUAAACCUCUUGUGGAGCUGACAGACUCAAGCAUGGCUGUAUUGCAUUUUCUUAUCCUGAGCCAGUUACAAAGUCUCUUCAAAGUUGAGCAAGAACUGACAAAACACACUGAAAGAAUAUGGGCAGAGAUGGCUGAUGACUGAGUGUUUCUCUCUGUGGCAUUUAUUUAAACAUACAUAAAAUACAAUUUUUGCAGAAGCAAUGCAGAUACUGAUCUCACAGCUCCAGCAAUAUGACCCAGCAUCAUGCUGACCUUGAAGGAGAGAGAUCUGUCCUGAAGAAUUUUGGUCAAAGGAGUUUAUGGUUACAAAUUGCAUUUCAGCAAAACCAUUAUUCAUUACAAUUUCUUGUUUUUAACUAAAUCUGCACAAAUAAUAUUUAAAAAAAAAUCCACUUCCAAAGCUGCCAUUAAACUCCUGAGAAUUCUGCUUUUCCAUGAUUUCAACUGAAGUCUGCUCAUACUGUUAGAGAGGAACAGUUACUGAAUUUCCAUGCUGAGUUUGCUGCUGCCAACAUGUUUGGUCAUGUAAACAAGUUCACUGAAAAGUCACUCAUGCUAAAAAGAAAUCCAGAUUCACAACGAGGCAUCUGCAGGCCAAAAAUGCUGGGUUUGGUCAGAUGGCCUAAAAAAUAGUAAAAAACGAAAAAUCCUCUGUGAGAGUCAUUCACUGGAGAUAUUCACUGUUCCUCUUUCUUCUGUCUAUAUAGAUAUUCCAGGAGAAUCAUCUGACCACCUGAGAGAGUGACAGCUCCAUCCUCACAAGAGGAGGUCACAAUGACACUCUUGCUUUUCUUUUUAAUUUCCGCUAAUUAACUGUAUGAUGCUUAUGUGAAGCAAGUCAGUAAUACCAAAGAAUGGUUUUAGAGAGAUUUAGUUAUUGUCCCUUCUGAGAUUCCCAGUUUCCAGGCUGUACCUAUCUUGCUUUAGACUGUUAAGGAUGUGCAGCAGGGAAUAUCCGUAUUCAGACUUUCCUGAAGCAUAACUUUCUUUUACUAAAGAAACACUGAAAGAACACAGUUCACAUUAGGCCUUUUCCCAAAUUCAAAGGAUCCCAACUUUUUUUGUGUAUAAACCAAGAGGAAGGUUUGGGGGGAGGGUAGACAGGAUAUUGUUUAAGAUGUGCAGAAUCUAAGCUUUCAUUUAAAAAAAAGGAGUUUGUAUAUGUAUAUGUCUGUUUUUUGGAACCUCUUCCCUGUGUCCUGUUAGAG